ensembl:lncRNA
AUGAUGUUUGGAAAAGGGAAAGCCCCUUUUUUUCCAAGCGAUCUUACUAUUUUUCCUGUGGCUAUUCAUUUUGGCUGUUGCACUAUAGGCUGGUUUGCUUUCAUGUUUUGCUUAAUUAAUUGCUCAGUCUUUAGAGGCCUGAAAACAACGAAACCACUGAAACAAGGAAAAGAGCAAAUGAGUGUCUGGAGAGCAGACGAUUAUAUGAAGAGCUGGAUGGGUGUGUGGAGGAGGGUGUUUGUUCUCUGCUGCCGGCCUUGGUGGGACAAUAGCGAGCUUCUGAAGCGCAGAGUGGUGGGAUGAAGAAGAUGAGGAGUCAAUGAGUGAAGAGGAGGCAGCGAUAUGUCAGCUCUUGACCCAACCAUGACUGUAGGAGGCCUGACUCAAUUACACUGCACAGCCCAGGACUGCAAUAUGGGAUAAAGUCCUGCUAAUUAUCUUGCUACAAAUGUCAGUUUCCUAUUUGAUUCUUUUAGAGAUGACAUGUGUGCAUUCUUCAGCAUUAAAAUGUUCUGUAUCUAUGCCAUAUUAGUAAACCAUUUGUAGAUUCUGCUAAAAAGUGAUGAGAAAUUACACUGUAAAGGUACAGUAAGGUGACAUUAAACCAUUGAAACAGUUUUAGUAAUUAAAUUAACGUAAAAUUAAUCAUAUUAAUCAUAUACAGUAUCUUCAUAUAAUAUAUCAUUGUCAGGAUUAUGGACCUGUUUUGGUGGGUUUUUCUUCCCCAUGUGCUCCGUGACAUAGUAUUCCCUCAUGUUUCAUUAUGUCAUUUGAUUCAGGUGUGUCCCGUUAAUUAUCCUCAUUUAGUUCUGUUUUUAAAGUGCUGUCUGUGCCUUGGUUCCUUUGUACGGUGUCUUCUAUACAAGUGCUACGUGUGUUCCUGCCUGCCCUGUGUUACUCUGGUUGUGGAUUAUUAAAGACUGUUAUUGGUGAGACUCCUUCAUCUUCGUUCUCCUUCGCUCCCGCACAGUAGCACUGUGACAAUCAUCAUAUAAUUUUCAGUCAUUAUUUUGUAGCCAUUCUAAGAAGUUUGCAGCCCUGAUUCCAAAAUAUAUCAUAAUUUGAAUCCCUGAUUAUAUAAGGUAUUUUCUAACAAUAAAUAAAUAAUUAUUCCCUAUUAUUAUUAUUAUUAUUGUUAUUAUUAUUGUUAUUAUUAUUAUUCAAUGGGGCUUAGCUAUUUUUGGUCCAAAACCAAAUUAAACCUUUAUUCCACUUUUUUAUCAAAAUUAUCUAAUAUAUUUUUAAGUUACCUUAAGGAGCAUCCCAUUUCUUUAUAAGGAAGGAAAACUAUGGCUAUUGUGUAAAAAAAUAAAAAAUAAAAAAUAAAAACGCAAUACGUUCUACAUGUAAAAGUGCACUUUAAUAUUUAUUUAUUUAUGCUUGUUUUUAACUAGAAAGAAUCAGACAGCACUAUAUCUCAUGUCAUGCUCACAUGAUGUCUGCCAAGCAUUUGCAAAGAACCAUAUAAAGACCAGAAUAUCUCAGAAGAAUAAAUACUGCAAGAAAAAGAUAACGGCCAUUGCUUAGAAAGCUAUCUACAUCUUUGCAUUUUAGCUCGUUCAUCCACAGAGGAGUUUCUUUCACAAUCAAUCACGAUUCCAGAGCCGACAUCAGCCCAGAAAGAACUGCAGGAGAUCUGAUCGAGAGUGAAAGAUCUUCAUCACAGACUCGUCUUUUUCUCAGAAUCUUCCUUUCGUUGCCUCCAGCUUUCUGGGCACAGAGCCAGCACAUGGAAGCCAUAAACAUGAAAACACCUUGGGCCUCUCCCUCUGCAGUGCUCCUUGAAUCAGAGGGCUUGUGCCUCCACGCCCCAUUGACGUUACAAACUGCUCCAACCUCAGCCAGUGACUCCACCUCAUGGCCCUACAGGAGUUACAGUAUUUGACUACAAUCAGUGACAUACUAGGUAAACCCCCUAGAAAGAACUCCAGGUUCAAGAGUAAAGAUGAUUGGCAGGUUGUCAAAUUUGCACGCUCGACAACAUAGUGAAAAAAGGGCGCAUUCAGGAUCACAUACCCUGAAGACUUCAAUGUGCAUCGCCCACAUCAUUCGGGAAAACCCGUCCAACCACUUCCAUUAACCACAACCCUCAUCGCAGGGAAUAUAGUACAUACUCCUUGAGGUAUAGCAGUUAAGUGGAUGAUAAGACUUUGGACAAUAAAGCUUCUGUGUAUUGAAUCUCCAUCCAUGUUUUAAUGGACCAUCUGCAUGUAAGACUGUUUUUACACUUCCAGUCCUGAGUUCAGUUCCACCCCUUCCACUAGUCCCACUGGUCUUCACACUGAACUUUUGGGUCCAAACCACGGUAUUGCAAAAGAUGCAAAAAAUUUGAGCUGCUCUCUGGGUGCUAUUUAUUCUAAAAUAUUCUGAUGUGAGAAGUGCAUUAAACUAUACUGCAAAGAUGCAAAUUAAAUAUCAUCAAUAGUGGUUUGUUUUUAGAACAUACUGCAUUUAUAACAACUGCAACUCAUACUUGAAUUCGAGUGAACUCUACACCCCUCAAUGCACACCCCAUUUCCUUUAACUCAAACAGUAAACCACGGUGCUAGCUAGCAAGAGGGUUUGGGGAUGCAAUGUAUGUACACCUUUAAUGCAACUUCAGUUGCUUUGCAUAAAGCAUCUGCCAAAUGCAUGAAUGUAACCAACCGAACUCUAACAAAAAAUACACUUGGGUCCACACCAAAUGUUCUAACAUGAAGCCAUUAGAUUACCAAAAAAAAAAGAAAAGAAAAAAGUCAGCCACAUGAGAGUACCAGUUUGGUUCAAGAAUGCUUGCUAAAAUAAAUAGUGUGUGUUUUGCCAUCUUGGGUCCAUUACUAUGGAGACAGACCUUGGUAAUGCCUGGACGGGUUAUCAAAGUUAAGCACUAUAUCAUUGCCCUUAAUGUGAAAGAAAUCAUGGCUGGAAGUCUUCAACCGCAGCUGGUGCACUGCACACAGUUAUGGCUUCAGCAAAACUGAAAUACAACUUGACCUUUGCUCUCUCCUACCUCUCCAUCCAUGAAGCAGUCAGAAGGGUCAAGAGGUCUGGGUGGCUACCAGGUCGCAUUCCAACUCAACACUGGUUUUGUAAGGACAGCCCCUGACAAAGCAAUAGACACAUCUUUGAAUGCUUAGCCCAGAACAGUUCCCCUACACUGCCUUGGACAUGCAAAUCAUGAAAGACAAUGCAUAAAGCUUGUGGCUCUGCACCUCCAGGUUUUACCAGCAUUUUUUAAGUGCUCGUUCUUGUAUAUUUGUUAUUAAUUGACUUCAGCUCUGAGCGUUUUAUAGUCUCAGAGGACAGCAUCAUUAGUGUUAUGUUCUCAAUAGCACCAUACAUAUUUCCACCUACAUCAAUUCUACACCAGAUGUGACCAUUGUCAUGUCGCACCACGCCACAACGGCUUGAGGCUGUCUUCACUUAACGAUUAAAAAAUUGCACAAAAACACCACUAAAUUCAUCAAACCAGACCAGUCCAACAAGUAGAAACAAGCCUGGUGGCCAGCAAGGACAAGCAAUCACUUUAGGGAGGUUUUAACAGGGUUGAAGUGUUUUAUGUAAGAAGCGAGCAAGGGCAAUUUCAAUUUAAUAAUGUACAGCAGUAAAAUUUCAACUUCAUUAAAAG